rnacentral:rRNA from 1 species
ACGUGAUCUGAGUUCAGACCGGAGUAAUCCAGGUCAGUUUCUAUCUAUAAAGAGCCUAUUCUAGUACGAAAGGACCGAAAAAGCGUGGCCAAUACUCAAUGCAAGCCAUCUCUGAUAAUUUAUGAAAAAAACUUAAUAAUUAAUCUGUCUUCAAACUAUCUCAAGAAAAGAGA